AGCAUCGCCAUCCAGUCCCAUUGCAAAUCCCAUUCCCCUUUCCCCUUUCCCUGUGGUAUCUCCCUCCAGUCCCCUUCCAAUUCCCCUUCCCAUUCCCAUGCGCAAUAUCCCACCAAUCGCAUUGCCAUUCCCCUUUCCCCUUCCCCUGAGGCAUCUCCUUCCAGUCCCAUUCCCAUUCCCCUUCCCCUGCAGCAUUUCCCUCCAGUGCCCUUCCUAUUCCCUUUCCCCUUCCCCUGAGGCAUCUCCCUCCAAUCCCAUUCAAAAUCCCAUUCCCCAUUCCACUUGCCCUGCAGCAUCGCCCUCCAGUCCCAUUGAAAAUCCCAUUCCCCUUUCCCCUUUCCCUGUGGCAUCUCCCUCCAAUCCGCUUCCUAUUCCCUUUCCACUUCCCCUGAGGCAUGUCCCUCCAAUACCAUUCCAAAUCCCAUUCCCCUUUCCCCUUCCCCUGAGACAUCUCCCUCCAGUCCCAUUCCAAAUCCCAUUCAACUUUCCCUUUUCCCUGUGGCAUCUCCCUCCAGUCCCCUUCCAAUUCCCCUUCCCAUUCCCCUCCGACAUAUCCCACCACUCCCAUUCCCAUUCCCCUUUCCCCUUCCCCUGCAGCAUCUCCCUCCAGUUCCAUUCCCAUUCCCCGUCUCCCUCUGCACCCUCUGCCACCUGUUGCAUUCCCCGUCCCCUUCCCGAUGGGAUCUCCCUCCACUCCCAUUCCCGUUCCCCCUUCCCCUUUCCCUGUGCUAUCUCCCUCCAGUCCCCUUCCAAUUCCCAUUCCCCUUCCCCUGCGCCAUAUCCCACCACUCCCAUUCCAAAUCCCAUUCCCCUUUCCCCUUCCCCUGAGGCAUCUCCCUCCAAUCCCAUUUCAAAUCCCAUUCCCCUUUCCCCUUUCCCUGUGCCAUCUCCCUCC
rnacentral:lncRNA from 1 species